GAUGAACGCUGGCGGCGUGCCUAAUACAUGCAAGUCGAGCGAACGGACGGGAAGCUUGCUUCUCUGAUGUUAGCGGCGGACGGGUGAGUAACACGUGGAUAACCUACCUAUAAGACUGGGAUAACUUCGGGAAACCGUAGCUAAUACCGGAUAAUAUUUUGAACCGCAUGGUUCAAAAGUGAAAGACGGUCUUGCUGUCACUUAUAGAUGGAUCCGCGCUGCAUUAGCUAGUUGGUAAGGUAACGGCUUACCAAGGCAACGAUGCAUAGCCGACCUGAGAGGGUGAUCGGCCACACGGGAACUGAGACACGGUCCAGACUCCUACGGGAGGCAGCAGUAGGGAAUCUUCCGCAAUGGGCGAAAGCCUGACGGAGCAACGCCGCGUGAGUGAUGAAGGUCUUCGGAUCGUAAAACUCUGUUAUUAGGGAAGAACAUAUGUGUAAGUAACUGUGCACAUCUUGACGGUACCUAAUCAGAAAGCCACGGCUAACUACGUG
rnacentral:rRNA from 1 species